rnacentral:rRNA from 1 species
GAUGAACGCUAGCGGCAGGCUUAAUACAUGCAAGUCGAGGGGCAGCAGGACGGUAGCAAUACCGUUGCUGGCGACCGGCAAACGGGUGCGGAACACGUACGCAACCUACCCAUAACUAGGGGAUAGCCCGGGGAAACCAGGAUUAGUACCUCGUAACCUUAUGAAGUGGCAUCGCUUUAUAAGUAUAGCUCCGGCGGUUAUGGAUGGGCGUGCGCCUGAUUAGGUAGGUGGCGGGGUAACGGCCCACCAAGCCUGCGAUCAGUAACUGGUGUGAGAGCACGACCAGUCACACGGGCACUGAGACACGGGCCCGACUCCUACGGGAGGCAGCAGUAAGGAAUAUUGGUCAAUGGACGCAAGUCUGAACCAGCCAUGCCGCGUGAAGGAUGAAGGUCCUCUGGAUUGUAAACUUCUUUUAUAGGGGAAGAAAUCUGAAUAUUCCUAUUCAGUUGACGGUACCCUAGGAAUAAGCACCGGCUAACUCCGUGCCAGCAGCCGCCGUAAAAC